rnacentral:rRNA from 1 species
CCCCAAGGUAAGGAAUAACGUCGAGAAAUCGGCGCUAAUACCUCAUAAUGCAGCGGAUCCGCAUGGAUAUGUUGUUAAAGGUUUACCGCUUGGGAUAGGCUUGCGUCUGAUUAGCUAGUUGGUGUGGUAACGGCACACCAAGGCUACGAUCAGUAACUGGUCUGAGAGGAUGAUCAGUCACACUGGAACUGAGACACGGUCCAGACUCCUACGGGAGGCAGCAGUGAGGAAUAUUGGGCAAUGCUCGAAAGAGUGACCCAGCAACGCCGCGUGGAGGAUGAAGGUAUUCUAUAUCGUAAACUCCUGUGAGAGCAAACGAAAGACAGAUUAUUAAUCUGGAUGACUGUAUGCUCAGAGGAAGCCCCGGCUAACUACGUG